rnacentral:rRNA from 1 species
CGGUAAUACGGAGGGUGCAAGCGUUAAUCGGAAUUACUGGGCGUAAAGCGCACGCAGGCGGUCUGUUAAGUCAGAUGUGAAAUCCCCGGGCUUAACCUGGGAACUGCAUUUGAAACUGGCAGGCUUGAGUCUUGUAGAGGGGGGUAGAAUUCCAGGUGUAGCGGUGAAAUGCGUAGAGAUCUGGAGGAAUACCGGUGGCGAAGGCGGCCCCCUGGACAAAGACUGACGCUCAGGUGCGAAAGCGUGGGGAGCAAACAGGAUUA